AACGAACGCUGGCGGCAGGCCUAACACAUGCAAGUCGAACGAGUAAGAGCCGUAGCAAUACGGAGUUCUGCUAGUGGCGCACGGGUGAGUAACGCGUGGGAACGUGCCUUGGAGUUCGGGAUAACAGUUGGAAACGACUGCUAAAUACCGAAUAUUCCCUCAGGGGAAGAUUAUCGCUCCAAGAUCGGCCCGCGUAAGAUUAGGUAGUUGGUGGGGUAAUGGCCUACCAAGCCUACGAUCUUUAGCUGGUCUGAGAGGACGACCAGCACACUGGAACUGAGACACGGUCCAGACUCCUACGGGAGGCAGCAGUGGGGAAU
rnacentral:rRNA from 1 species